rnacentral:rRNA from 1 species
UACGUAGGGCGCAAGCGUUGUCCGGAAUUAUUGGGCGUAAAGAGCUCGUAGGCGGCUUGUCACGUCGGGGUGUGAAAGCCCGGGGCUUAACCCCGGGUCUACAUUCGAUACGGGCUAGCUAGAGUGUGGUAGGGGAGAUCGGAAUUCCUGGUGUAGCGGUGAAAUGCGCAGAUAUCAGGAGGAACACCGGUGGCGAAGGCGACAUCCUGGACCGGUAUUGACGCUGAGGCGCGAAAGCCAGGGGAGGCAAACGGG